rnacentral:rRNA from 1 species
AGCGAACGCUGGCGGCAGGCUUAACACAUGCAAGUCGAACGGGCGUAGCAAUACGUCAGUGGCAGACGGGUGAGUAACGCGUGGGAACGUGCCCUUUGGUUCGGAACAACACAGGGAAACUUGUGCUAAUACCGGAUAAGCCCUUACGGGGAAAGAUUUAUCGCCGAAGGAUCGGCCCGCGUCUGAUUAGCUUGUUGGUGAGGUAAUGGCUCACCAAGGCGACGAUCAGUAGCUGGUCUGAGAGGAUGAUCAGCCACACUGGGACUGAGACACGGCCCAGACUCCUACGGGAGGCAG